GGGUUGUGAGGUUAAGCGACUAAGCGUACACGGUGGAUGCCCUGGCAGUCAGAGGCGAUGAAGGACGUGCUAAUCUGCGAUAAGCGUCGGUGAGGUGAUAUGAACCGUUAUAACCGGCGAUUUCCGAAUGGGGAAACCCAGUGUGUUUCGACACACUAUCAUUAACUGAAUCCAUAGGUUAAUGAGGCGAACCGGGGGAACUGAAACAUCUAAGUACCCCGAGGAAAAGAAAUCAACCGAGAUUCCCCCAGUAGCGGCGAGCGAACGGGGAGGAGCCCAGAGCCUGAAUCAGUGUGUGUGUUAGUGGAAGCGUCUGGAAAGGCGCGCGAUACAGGGUGACAGCCCCGUACACAAAAAUGCACAUAUUGUGAGCUCGAUGAGUAGGGCGGGACACGUGGUAUCCUGUCUGAAUAUGGGGGGACCAUCCUCCAAGGCUAAAUACUCCUGACUGACCGAUAGUGAACCAGUACCGUGAGGGAAAGGCGAAAAGAACCCCGGCGAGGGGAGUGAAAAAGAACCUGAAACCGUGUACGUACAAGCAGUGGGAGCCUCUUAAUGGGGUGACUGCGUACCUUUUGUAUAAUGGGUCAGCGACUUAUAUUCUGUAGCAAGGUUAACCGAAUAGGGGAGCCGAAGGGAAACCGAGUCUUAACUGGGCGUUAAGUUGCAGGGUAUAGACCCGAAACCCGGUGAUCUAGCCAUGGGCAGGUUGAAGGUUGGGUAACACUAACUGGAGGACCGAACCGACUAAUGUUGAAAAAUUAGCGGAUGACUUGUGGCUGGGGGUGAAAGGCCAAUCAAACCGGGAGAUAGCUGGUUCUCCCCGAAAGCUAUUUAGGUAGCGCCUCGUGAAUUCAUCUCCGGGGGUAGAGCACUGUUUCGGCAAGGGGGUCAUCCCGACUUACCAACCCGAUGCAAACUGCGAAUACCGGAGAAUGU
rnacentral:rRNA from 1 species